GACGAACGCUGGCGGCGUGCCUAACACAUGCAAGUCGAGCGAUGAUAUCCCUUCGGGGAUUGAUUAGCGGCGGACGGGUGAGUAACACGUGGGUAACCUGCCUCAAAGAGGGGGAUAGCCCUCCGAAAGGAGGAUUAAUACCGCAUAAAGUUGAGAGUUCGCAUGAACAUUCAACCAAAGGAGCAAUCCGCUUUGAGAUGGACCCGCGUCCCAUUAGCUAGUUGGUGAGGUAAUAGCUCACCAAGGCGACGAUGGGUAGCCGACCUGAGAGGGUGAUCGGCCACAUUGGAACUGAGAUACGGUCCAGACUCCUACGGGAGGCAGCAGUGGGGAAUAUUGCGCAAUGGGGGAAACCCUGACGCAGCAACGCCGCGUGGGCGACGAAGGUCUUCGGAUUGUAAAGCCCUGUCUUCUGGGACGAUAAUGACGGUACCAGAGGAGGAAGCCACGGCUAACUACGUGCCAGCAGCCGCGGUAAUACGUAGGUGGCAAGCGUUGUCCGGAAUUACUGGGCGUAAAGGGUGCGUAGGCGGAUAUUUAAGUGGGAUGUGAAAUACCUGAGCUCAACUCGGGUGCUGCAUUCCAAACUGGAUAUCUAGAGUGCAGGAGAGGAGAAUGGAAUUCCUAGUGUAGCGGUGAAAUGCGUAGAGAUUAGGAAGAACACCAGUGGCGAAGGCGAUUCUCUGGACUGUAACUGACGCUGAGGCACGAAAGCGUGGGUAGCAAACAGGAUUAGAUACCCUGGUAGUCCACGCCGUAAACUAUGAAUACUAGGUGUAGGGGGGAACCUCCCUCUGUGCCGCAGUUAACACAAUAAGUAUUCCGCCUGGGGAGUACGGUCGCAAGACUAA
rnacentral:rRNA from 1 species